AUUGAACGCUGGCGGCAUGCUUUACACAUGCAAGUCGAACGGCAGCGCGGUCUUCUUCCUGGCUGCUAGUGUCGAACGGGUGUGUAUUACAUCUGAACGUGCCCCGUUUUGCGUUAUAGCUCGUCGAAAGCCGUAUUAAUACCGCAUACUACCUGAGGCUGAUAGCUGGUGAUCUUCGGACCUCUCGCUAUUUUAGCGGUCGAUGCCCGUUUUGUUAGUUGGUUGGGUAAAUGCCUACCAAGGCCACGAUCUGUAGCUGGUCUGAGAGGACGACAAGCCAAACUGGGAGUGAGACACGGACAAGAGUCCUAAGGGAGGCAGCAGUGGGGAAUGUUGGACAAUGGGCGAAAGCAUGAUACAGCAAGGCCGAGUGUGAGAUGAAGGCGUUCGGGUUGUAAAGAACUUUUGGGGGGAACGAAAAGGAGUGGGCCAAUACCAAGGUUGGAUGACGGUAACCGAAGAAUAAGCACCGGCUAACUACGUG
rnacentral:rRNA from 1 species